rnacentral:rRNA from 1 species
GACGAAAGCUGGCGGCGUGCCUAAUACAUGCAAGUCGAGCGAAGUUUUUCUGGUGCUUGCACCGGAAAAACUUAGCGGCGAACGGGUGAGUAACACGUAAAGAACCUGCCUCAUAGACUGGGACAACUAUUGGAAACGAUAGCUAAUACCGGAUAAUAGCAUUAACUGCAUGGUUGAUGUUUAAAAGUUGGUUUUGCUAACACUAUGAGAUGGCUUUGUGGUGCAUUAGCUAGUUGGUGGGGUAAAGGCCUACCAAGGCGACGAUGCAUAGCCGACCUGAGAGGGUGAUCGGCCACACUGGGACUGAGACACGGCCCAGACUCCUACGGGAGGCAGCAGUAGGGAAUCUUCCGCAAUGGGCGAAAGCCUGACGGAGCAACGCCGCGUGAGUGAAGAAGGAUUUCGGUUCGUAAAGCUCUGUUGUUAGGGAAGAAUGAUUGUGUAGUAACUAUACACAGUAGAGACGGUACCUAACCAGAAAGCCACGGCUAACUACGUG